rnacentral:rRNA from 1 species
UCGCGGCCUAUCAGCUUGUUGGUGGGGUGAUGGCCUACCAAGGCGUCGACGGGUAGCCGGCCUGAGAGGGUGACCGGCCACACUGGGACUGAGAUACGGCCCAGACUCCUACGGGAGGCAGCAGUGGGGGAUAUUGCACAAUGGGCGCAAGCCUGAUGCAGCGACGCCGCGUGAGGGAUGACGGCUUUCGGGUUGUAAACCUCUUUCGCUACCGAACAAGGCUUCAUAUUUGUGGGGUUGAGGGUAGGUGGAUAAGAAGCGCCGGCUAACUACGUGCCAGCAGCCGCGGUAAUACGUAGGGCGCGAGCGUUGUCCGGAAUUAUUGGGCGUAAAGAGCUCGUAGGCGGCUUGUCGCGUCUGCUGUGAAAACGCGGGGCUUAACUCCGCGCGUGCAGUGGGUACGGGCAGGCUAGAGUGUGGUAGGGGUGACUGGAAUUCCUGGUGUAGCGGUGGAAUGCGCAGAUAUCAGGAGGAACACCGAUGGCGAAGGCAGGUCACUGGGCCAUUACUGACGCUGAGGAGCGAAAGCAUGGGGAGCGAACAGGAUUAGAUACCCUGGUAGUCCAUGCCGUAAACGUUGGGCACUAGGUGUGGGGUCCGUUUCCACGGGUUCUGCGCCGUAGCUAACGCAUUAAGUGCCCCGCCUGGGGAGUACGG